CUUAGGAAAAUCCGGGCUCUUAAUGCUGAGAUCUGAUGUCGAGUUUCUACGGAAACGAAGUCAUUGAUGCCAUGCUUCCAAGAAAAGCUUCUAAGCUUCAGUCACGUGGGAUCGUACCCGAAACCGACACAGGUGGUCAGGUCGAGAAGACCAAAGCGCUUGAGAGAACUUGGGUGAAGGAACUAGGCAAAAUGGCACCGUAACUUCGGGAGAAGGUGCGCCGGUGAC
rnacentral:rRNA from 15 species